AAUUUUUGACAAUGGGCGCAAGCCUGAUCCAGCCAUGCCGCGUGAGUGAAGAAGGCCUUCGGGUAGUAAAGCUCUUUCGGACGGAAAGAAAACGCGCAGGCUGAUACCAUGCGCGGCUGACGGUAGCGUCAUCAGAAGCACAGGCUAACUACGUGCAAGCAGCCGCGGUAAUACGUAGUGUGCGCGCGUUAAUCGGAAUUACUGGGCGUAAAGCGUGCGCAGUCGGUUGAUUAAGACAGGCGUGAAAUCCCCGGGCUUAACCUGGGAACUGCGCUUAUGACUGGUCAGCUAGAGUACGGCAGAGGAGGGUGGAAUUCCACGUGUAGCAGUGAAAUGCGUAGAGAUGUGGAGGAACACCGAUGGCGAAGGCAGCCCCCUGGGCCGAUACUGACGCUCAUGCACGAAAGCGUGGGUAGCAAACAGG
rnacentral:rRNA from 1 species